ACUCAAAGGAAUUGACGGGGACCCGCACAAGCGGUGGAGGAUGUGGUUUAAUUCGACGCAACGCGAAGAACCUUACCAAGGCUUGACAUCUACAGAAUCUGGUAGAAAUACCGGAGUGUCCGAAAGGAAACUGUAAGACAGGUGGUGCAUGGCUGUCGUCAGCUCGUGUCGUGAGAUGUUGGGUUAAGUCCCGCAACGAGCGCAACCCUCGAUGUUAGUUGCCAUCAUUUAGUUGGGCACUCUAACGUGACUGCCGGUGAUAAGCCGGAGGAAGGUGAGGACGACGUCAAGUCAUCAUGCCCCUUACGUCUUGGGCUACACACGUCCUACAAUGGCAUAGACAAAGAGCUGCAAGGCCGCGAGGUCAAGCGAAUCUCAUAAACUAUGUCUCAGUUCGGAUUGCAGGCUGCAACUCGCCUGCAUGAAGUCGGAAUCGCUAGUAACCGUAGAUCAGCAUGCUACGGUGAAUACGUUCCCGGGUCUUGUACACACCGCCCGU
rnacentral:rRNA from 1 species